rnacentral:rRNA from 1 species
UAAGGAAUAUUGGUCAAUGGGCGCAAGCCUGAACCAGCCAUGCCGCGUGCAGGAUGAAGGCCUUCGGGUCGUAAACUGCUUUUAUGUGCGAAGAAUAUGACGGUAACACAUGAAUAAGGAUCGGCUAACUCCGUGCCAGCAGCCGCGGUCAUACGGAGGAUCCGAGCGUUAUCCGGAGUGACUGGGCGUAAAGAGUUGCGUAGGUGGUAGUUUAAGCAAAUAGUGAAAUCGCAUGGCUCAACCAUUCGGCUAUUAUUUGAACUGGGCUACUUGAGAACAUGAGGGGUAGAUGGAAUUCCCAGUGUAGGAGUGAAAUCCGUAGAUAUUGGGAGGAACACCGAUGGCGUAGGCAAUCUACUGGCAUGUUUCUGACACUGAGGCACGAAAGCGUGGGGAGCGAACCGG